GUGCCAGCAGCCGCGGUAAUACGGAGGGUGCAAGCGUUAUCCGGAUUUACUGGGUUUAAAGGGUGUGUAGGCGGAUUAUUAAGUCAGUGGUGAAAUCCCGAGGCUCAACCUCGGAACUGCCAUUGAUACUAUUAGUCUUGAAUGUUGUGGAGGUGGGCGGAACGGGUCAUGUAGCGGUGAAAUGCAUAGAUAUGACCCGGAACACCGAUUGCGAAGGCAGCCCGCUACGCAACGAUUGACGCUGAGGCACGAAAGCGUGGGGAUCAAACAGGAUUAGAUACCCUGGUAGUCCACGCCCUAAACGAUGAUUACUCGACGUGUGCGAUACACUGUACGCGUCCAAGCGAAAGCAUUAAGUAAUCCACCUGGGAAGUACGUGCGCAAGAAUGAAACUCAAAGGAAUUGACGG
rnacentral:rRNA from 1 species